UACAGAGGUCUCAAGCGUUGUUCGGAUUCAUUGGGCGUAAAGGGUGCGUAGGCGGCGCGGUAAGUCGGGGUGUGAAAUCUCGGAGCUUAACUCCGAAACUGCAUUCGAUACUGCCGUGCUUGAGGACUGGAGAGGAGACUGGAAUUUACGGUGUAGCGGUGAAAUGCGUAGAUAUCGGGAGGAACACCUGUGGCGAAAGCGGCGCACUGGACCACAUCUGACGCUGAGGCGCGAAAGCUAGGGGAGCAAACAGG
rnacentral:rRNA from 1 species